rnacentral:rRNA from 1 species
CCCUUAGAUGUUCUGGGCCGCACGCGUGCUACACUGAGUGGAUCAGCGGGUCAGGUUGCGCGAAAGCGUUUCCUAAUCUUUAAAUCCGCUCGUGAUGGGGAUUGACGGUUGCAAUUUUCUGUCAUGAACGAGGAAUACCUUGUAAGCGCGGGUCAUCAUCCCGCGCUGAAUACGUCCCUGCCCUUUGUACACACCGCCCGUCGCUCCAACCGAUUGAGUGGUCCGGUGAGGCUUUGGGAUCUGAGCGGAAAGAGCGUUUCGCUGUUUCUGCUCGGAAAACUCAGUCGAACCUUAUCAUUUAGAGGAAGGAGAAGUCGUAACA